GCCAUGUUUUAUGUUACUAACCAGUAUAUCUGUAUUAAUUUUAUUUGCAAAAGUUUAUUACACCAGAAUGCAAUUUAACUUAAAAGAUUGGCUUUACUAAGACGCUUUCCUGAGGCUCUCAGGAAAGAAGUUGUAACCUACAGAUCUUGACUAUUUUUGCACUUUUAAAUGUCUAGCGCUUAUUUUACAUCAAACACUUUCAAAAACAUGUUUUACAAACUACACUUCAGACAUAUUUCCAUAGAAGUGCCUACAUCAGUCAAUUAAAAGAAGGACCCCAUUGUUAAGCAUCAUUUAUGUGGGCAUUGUUAUGUGAAAGCUCAUGUGAUGGUAUUUGUUUUAGAAAUAGAAUGUUUUAGAAUGUGUUGGUUGUUUUUUGUUUUUGGUUGUGUUUUUUUUUUAGAAAAAUAGCAUGCUGCCUUCUGUUUUUUGAGAGAAGUAGCUGCCAGUGCACAGAAUGUUGCAAUCUUUUCAAGAAGCUAAAACCCGAUGCUCAGCAUGCCUAUCAGAAAUUUCUAAACGGGUGGCUGUUUUACCCCAGUACCCCAGCAACGGUGCUUGGGGUACAAGACCUUCACUUAUAAUUCAAACUUUAAAUUUCAUUUUUAAGUAAAGAACCACUUUUAAAAAAAGUUUCAAGUAUAGAAAGCUAGAAGAAUUAGCUGCCGUAAUGUAGUAAAGCUCAUUAAAAACCCCCAAGCUAAAAUGCUAAUAGAAAGGACACCUAUUUCUUUUUUGCUUUUAGUGUCUGUUGCUGUCUGAUGUUAUACUAGAACACAGGCCUGGGAGUUAACUCAGUGAUAUUGAGAAUGACAUGGUGAUUGACAUAUGCAAAGAAAAGAUGUGGUAGAGUUGCUUCAAGGAUUUUACUGUUCUUUGUUGUUUUUACCCCAUGCUUUUGGAUAAGUCUUUUAUUUAAUGUUUGCCCGUAUACGAUUGCUGUUGCAAAUCAACAUUUCUUCUUUGCAGGAAGUUCAUGCUGGUUUUAAAACAUUUCAAGCAACAGAAUUUAUUUUAUGAGCUAACAUGACCAAACAUGUAGUACAUAGGCAUAUGUUUUCCCAUCCUUGCUCUGGGGAUAUCUUCAUUUCCUAUUUUCUGUAUUUUUUUUCUCCUAUAUCUUGUUUUCUUUUGCCCUUUAGGAAAAAAAAAAAAAUGUCCUUAUCAGUAUAUCUCUUGCCUUCUUCCCUCUUUUUCUCUAAAUUGACCUUUCUGUCUUCCCCUCACUCAUCCCAGGGUAUAUCUGCCCAUGCCUCAAGACAAAGGGUUAUCUUGACCCUCAUAGUAUAACAGUGGUGUUAAUUUGUACCUUCCACCAUUUUUCCUGCCAGUAAAGAAAAGCUAAUCCAGUCUUCAUGGCUUACUGCAAAUGGGCACAGUUAGAAAUGAAUUACAUGUAAGACAAAUUUAUUUAACUUAGUUCUUCUUGAAAUUCAUAAAAAUACCUCAAGAAAACGGAAGUGUAACAACUAAGAUUCAAAUGACAAUGAUUUAAUAAGUAAAUGGAGUUGUGCUAACCCUGGGUGAAGGAUUAUCAUCUUCUCAUCUGAGAAUAAUACAGAGGAUAGUGAACAUGGUUCUCCAGGCAGUGAGACCUUCUGCAUACUGGGGGUCCUCCUAACCACAAAGAAUAUACAACAGUAGAGCAGUACGCAUCUUUUUUUUUCCCCUCUAUAAAAUUCACUCAGUUUCCGUAAAAGGGUACUUUUCAUUCAUUAUUUAUAUUAGAAUAAACAAACUGCAGGUGUAGUUCGAAGAAAACUUUUUUUCCUUAGGCGAUGUUUUUUCUGCUUUCCUUAAUCUUAGAUAUUUAUCCGGUGCUAGGCUGUGCCAUAUCGAGCAUGACUUUCAUCCUCUGGAUCUACAGACAUCAAGAGAGAUAGGAGGAUCCCCUUCCACGUCUGCAGCUUAUGGGGGUAGGUUUACUUUCUGUUUGUGUGUAUGGCAAAGGAGGAGGGCCUAUAGAGAGACCCUACAUUCCUGAUUACUGUUUAUUCAGAGCCAGUGAGGGGAUGACAUUUUUUCACCACAGUUCCAAUUUGCGUGCUGACGUUAAGUGAAAAAUAAAAUCAACUCUUCUUCCAGGAUAAAGGACCGAUAGCACAGAGGACAUUAGUGUUGCAUUUAGACUCAUAUAAAGUAGUUUUUAAUGAAAAAGCCUUACUGUAAAACAAACUUUUUCCUGGACACUAGUUUUCAGGGAGGAAGGAAGAAACAAGAAUGAGAAGACUAUUUCUGCAGAACAUCGAGAUAUUUCAUGAAUCACAUGCUCUUACUGUAAGUAAAAUUUUGAUAUCAGCCAUUAAAUUAGCAUGGCAGAAAGUUCUCAAGGUUAUUACAGUCUUUCUCUUCUUAAGUAAGAACUAUACUCUGCAGCAUUUAUAAUCAACCAAAUUAAAAGCUACCUAUGAUGUAGGAGGAAGAAGAGACAGCGAAAAGGAAGCAAUGAUGAAGAACUCAAGCAUGUGUUCCUUCAGACAUCUUUACAACUAAACAUCACUUAUUUAUCACUUCAUAAGCUCAAAUUGAGGGUACCUACUUUGCCACAGAAGCGGCCCUGGCAAGGAGUUUCAACUGACAGAACUCAGCUAGCAAAAGAAGAUAAACAGAGAAGUAAGACUGCCUGUUGCUGGUGUCAUUGGCAAACCAAGAUCUUGCUGCUCAACUGUUACGUGCUCAACAGGUAAAUCAAGCUUUUUUUUUUUUCCUAAUUUUCACAUUUUUCACUGUGAAAUAUAUCAUUCUGUAUUAAUGUUGUCCAUAAAAGAAGACAUUGCUUUUGUUAUGUUUCACGUUAGUGAUGAAAUUUCUACUCACUUCUGAGCUGAACUGGAAUUUAUUGGGAAAGUGACUUAGUUUGCAGAACAGAAAUUUAGUUAUGAUGCCCAAAAAAAAAGAGGAAAAAAUGUUAUUCUGGCUGUUGUCUUGAAAAUUUUUAAUCAUAGCAUCUCCAAGUACCUUGCAAACCAGAGUCAUAGUGUCACUUCCAAGUAACAGAGCAGGACAAAGGCAAAGCCAAAGGUACCCAGGUCUCCUCUGUAUUAGUCCGAUACUCUAUCUGGUAUUUCACAUUUCUAUCAAAGUAUCAUGAACAUAUGAAAUAUUCAAAAACAUACCAUGUUUUGUAUAUAUUUAUAUGUUCUCAAUUUUUAAGAAACAAUUUGUCUUUAGUGAAGACAUUCUCUAAGUUGUGGGGCAGGAAAUGUCGACACGAUUGAUUUAACAGCACAUUUAAUGAAAUAUAGUGCUCAGGUAAGAUUAGAAGCUGGAUUUAUUAGCAGUCCAGUGAGUAACAACGUUGUGAGUAUUGCCUUUUUAUAAGUUGUACUGAAAACGCAGGUAAGAUAGCAUUUUUAACACUGUUAACAGAGUUAACAGUUAAGAGAGGUGAGUGGAGUGAACCACGUUUACAGCAAGUGACGGUAAUCAGUGGCCUUAAAAGAUAGAAAUGUCAACUCAAAGGAUUAACUAGCACAAUUUAUGUAAAAUAGUAAAACUUCACAAAGUUAAAACUUGAUCUAAAUGGUAUACAGCUGCUAAAGAAAAAAGGAAAAAGAAAGAAAGAAAGAAAAAAAUCAAAAGCUUUACUGACCACCUUUUGAUUUUUUUUAAGGAUGCUUCAAUGGGUAUGAGCUCUUAGGAAAAAAAUACUGCAUUUUUGCCUGAAAAGUGCCGAUUUUAUUUUUAACACCUGUUAGU
rnacentral:lncRNA from 1 species